AUCCAAGCCCAAUCGCGGCAAAAACAAGUUUGUCAAGAAGCAGCCACCGACACCAAGAAAACAAAAUCAAAGCGAUUCGGAGGAGGAAGUCACGCAAAUCAUUUGAUAGAUAGUUUAGUGUUCAUAUAAAUAAAAUUUAUACUUUAUAUACGCUUAAGACAAAGUUUAGUAUAAGUAUAACUUUAGAUAAUUUAGUUAAAAUAUGAAAAGUUUUUUAAUGUAUCAUAAACAAGUCGGCCGUAGUAUAUGGAGCAGCCCAUGAAUAAUUGACACUGGUGCUAUAAUGCUCGGCAGAGAUUGUGUUAAAAAAGAUAAACAAAUAAAUAGGCUGGCAAGAGCUAAAGCUAAA
rnacentral:sRNA from 1 species